rnacentral:lncRNA from 1 species
AGAAUUUGGCAAGUUUUUCUCAUUUAGCUUCUUAUGGGGUUUCUUCCAAUGGUUCUUCACGGCUGGUGAUGAUUGUGGCUUCUCAAAAUUCCCAACAUUUGGAUUAAAAGCGUAUAAAUACACGUAAGCCUAAAAGGUUCUUUUUGUUAUUUAAGAAUUGGUCUCUGAUUUUUCAUUUCAAUAUACCGGGAGAUGUUUCCUGCUCAUUGCAGAACUUUAAAUGGUGUGACUGAGCAUCGUCGAACCGAAAUGCAGUUUGACUACUUUUCCAUUUAAGAUCUAAUCUUGAUCAUCAGAUAUAGACUCAAUUUCAGUUAAUAUAUAUAUCCAAUUCCAUGUCUGCAUGCCAGUACUAAAGUUAUCAUCAAACUAAGUCGUCUUAUGUUUCACUCAAAACCUUGUUUUGGAAGCUACAGGUUUUUCUUCGAUUUCUCAGCAUUGAAUGUUGGAGUAGGGAUGAUCUGCCCUCACAUCGUGAAUAUAUCUUUUCUUCUUGGAGGAAUACUUUCUUGGGGUAUUUUGAGGCCUCUCAUUGAAACUAGAAAGGGGGAUUGGUACUCUGCAGAUCUCGAGCCACAUAAUUUCCGGGGACUUUAUGGUUAUAUGGUGAAUUCCUAUUCCAUCAUAGUUUUCCCCAAUGCUGCCAUUUAUUAAUUUGCUUUUUCACGGAUACACUUCACUAAAACAAAAUGUCAACUAAAACUACAUCAGGUAUUCAUUGGCAUUUCCAUGUUUCUCGGUGAUGGCCUAUACAACUUUUUCAAGGUUCUAAGCCGAACUCUGGCUGGUUUGUAUUACAAAAUUCUACGCAGAAAUACAAACAUGCAAAUCCCAGUUGUAGGAAAUUCCUCUCCUGUACGAAAAUCACUCUCUUAUGAUGACCGACAUUGUACCGAAGUCUUUCUUAAGGAUCAAAUCCCAACAUGGUUUGCCGUUGGAGGUUAUUUUGCCCUUGCUGCAGUCUCUACUGCAAUCCUUCCUCACAUUUUCCACCAGCUCAAGUGGUACUACAUCAUUGUUAUAUACAUAUUUGCACCAAGCUUGGCCUUCUGUAAUGCGUAUGGGUGUGGGCUCACUGAUUGCUCAUUCGCAUCAAAUUACGGAAAACUAGCUGUCUUUACAAUUGGGGCAUGGGCGGGGGCAUCACAUGGUGGAAUACUUGCUGGUCUAGCAGCAUGUGGAGUGUUGCUUAAUAUAGUUUCCACUGCCUCUGACCUCAUGCAAGAUUUCAAGACCGGAUACUUGACCUUGGCUUCUCCUUGUUCAAUGUUCGUCAGCCAAGUGAUUGGGACUGCAAUGGGAUGUGUUAUUUCUCCUUGUGUCUUUUGGAUUUUCUACAAAGCUUUUUCUGAUCUCGGGCUUCCUACAAGUGAAUAUCCUGUCCCCUUAGCUACAGUGUCCUAUAAUAUGGCUAAACUAGGUGUUGAGGGCUUAUCGGCUCUUCCUACAGGUUGCCUCAAGCUAUGUUAUGGAUUUUUUGCUGCAUCCAUUCUCAUCAACUUAACCAGAGAUGCUUUGGGAAAGAAACGUUCAUGGUUUAUUCCAAUUCCAAUGGCAAUGGCAGUACCAUUUUUUUUGGGUUCACAGAUUGCUAUUGAUAUGUGUGUUGGAAGCCUCAUAAUUUACGUAUGGCAAAAGAAAAAUAAGGCCAAUGCUGACGCCUUUGGGCCUGCCGUGGCAACUGGUUUGAUUUGUGGUGACGGGAUGUGGACUUUGCCUAAAUGUAUACUAGCUCUAGUCGGAGUGAAACCUCCAAUUUGCAUGAUGUUCAUUUCAAGGGCUACUUAUAAUAAGUUAGAUUAAGUACUAGAAUCCUAGAUAGGCCAGGGGAAAGAUUAACUAAUAUGCCAACAAGUAUCAUCUUCAUAAUCUGUAGACUUUAAAAUAUUAUCCUGUAACUAUAAAUAAGAGAAUCAAUUCAUGUUUCUGCAG